rnacentral:lncRNA from 1 species
UACAUGUCUUGCAUGUGACAACAAAUCAAAUACCAUAGAACCUUUCUGGGACUUGUCAUUGGAGUUUCCAGAAAGGUAUCAAUGCAGUGGAAAAGAUAUUGCUUCCCAGCCAUGUCUGGUUACUGAAAUGUUGGCCAAAUUUACAGAAACUGAAGCUUUAGAAGGAAAAAUCUACGUAUGUGACCAGUGUAACUCAAAGCGUAGAAGGUUUUCCUCCAAACCAGUUGUACUCACAGAAGCCCAGAAACAACUUAUGAUAUGCCACCUACCUCAGGUUCUCAGACUGCACCUCAAACGAUUCAGGUCUGUAGUAGGACCAGUUGCAAAGUUAUCAUUCCUUGUGCUUAUAAUGCUUCAAAACUUAAAGAAUGCAUGUUAUAAUUUUUUCCCCUUACUUUAAUCACCUUUCUGACAAAUGAAUUAACUUUUAAUAUCAUAUACUUGGCUAGUAAAUGACUUACAU